AUUGAACGCUGGCGGCAGGCCUAACACAUGCAAGUCGAGCGGAUGAAGGGAGCUUGCUCCUGGAUUCAGCGGCGGACGGGUGAGUAAUGCCUAGGAAUCUGCCUGGUAGUGGGGGAUAACGUCCGGAAACGGGCGCUAAUACCGCAUACGUCCUGAGGGAGAAAGUGGGGGAUCUUCGGACCUCACGCUAUCAGAUGAGCCUAGGUCGGAUUAGCUAGUUGGUGGGGUAAAGGCCUACCAAGGCGACGAUCCGUAACUGGUCUGAGAGGAUGAUCAGUCACACUGGAACUGAGAAACGGUCAAGACUCCUACGGGAGGCAGCAGUGGGGAAUAUUGGACAAUGGGCGAAAGCCUGAUCAAGCCAUGCCGCGUGUGUGAAGAAGGUCUUCGGAUUGUAAAGCACGUUAAGUUGGGAGGAAGGGCAGUAAGUUAAUACCUUGCUGUUUUGACGUUACCAACAGAAUAAGCACCGGCUAACUUCGUG
rnacentral:rRNA from 1 species